AUGAAGAACGCAGCGAAAUGCGAUAAGUAAUGUGAAUUGCAGAAUUCAGUGAAUCAUCGAAUCUUUGAACGCAUCUUGCGCUCCUUGGUAUUCCGAGGAGCAUGCCUGUUUGAGUGUCAUUUAAAACUUCUCAACCAUUUGGAGUCUCUCCGGGUGGCUUGGAAAUGGGGGAUGUGCAGGCCAGCAAUGGUCUGCUCCCCUGAAAUGAAUUAGUGGCAUCUGAGCAGAGACUACCACAGGUGUGAUAACUAUUGAUCAAUGCCUUGGUAUAUACUGCAGGUUGUUGCUGCUUCUAAUGUAAUGACCCAUUGACAAACUUGACCUCAAAUCAGGUAGGAUUACCCGCUGAACUUAA
rnacentral:sRNA from 1 species